AACUGCGUACGGCUCAUUACACCAGGCUUAAUUUACUUGACCUUGACAACCUACUUGGAUAACUGUGGUAAUUCUAGAGCUAAUACAUGCACCAAAGCUCCGAUCCUCGCGGAGAGGAGCGCAUUUGUUCGCCACAAAACCAAGCGCCCAUUUGGGCGUCCAGUGCUGAACCAGAACAACUCAGCUGAUCGCACGGUCUUGUACCGGCGACGUGUCUUUCAAGUGUCUGCCUUAUCAACUUUCGAUGGUAGUGUACCUGACUACCAUGGUUGUGACGGGUAACGGAGGAUAAGGGUUCGACUCCGGAGAAGGGGCCUGAGAAAUGGCCACUACGUCUAAGGAUGGCAGCAGGCGCGCAAAUUACCCACUCUCAACGCGAGGAGGUAGUGACGAGAAAUAACGAGACCGUUCUCAUACGAGGCCGGUUAUUGGCAUGGGUACAAUUUAAACCCUUUAACGAGUAUCUAUGAGAGGGCAAGUCUGGUGCCAGCAGCCGCGGUAAUUCCAGCUCUC
rnacentral:rRNA from 1 species